rnacentral:rRNA from 1 species
UACGUAGGAGACGAGCGUUGUCCGGAGUUACUGGGCGUAAAGGGUGCGCAGGUGGCGGCGCGCGUGGGGGGUGAAAUCGCCCGGCUUAACUGGGCGGGGGCCUUCCAGACGGCGUGGCUUGAGCAGCGGAGGGGGACGUGGAAUUCCGGGUGGAGCGGUGAAAUGCGCAGAUAUCAGGAAGAACACCAAUGGCGAAAGCAGCUCUCUGGGACGGUACUGACGCUGAGACGCGAAAGCGUGGGGAGCGAACAGG